GACGUAGGGAGCGAGCGUUGUCCGGAUUCAUUGGGCGUAAAGAGCGCGUAGGCGGUUUGGUAAGUCGGAUGUGAAAAUCCGGGGCUCAACCCCGGACGUGCAUCCGAAACUGCCCGACUAGAGGUAGGUAGGGGAGAUCGGAAUUCCUGGUGUAGCGGUGAAAUGCGCAGAUAUCAGGAGGAACACCGGUGGCGAAGGCGGAUCUCUGGGCCUUACCUGACGCUGAGGCGCGAAAGCUAGGGGAGCACACAGG
rnacentral:rRNA from 1 species